ACCUUCGGGCCUGGCGCGAUUGGAUGAGCCCACGUCGGAUUAGCUAGUUGGCGGGUAAAGGCCCACCAAGGCGACGAUCCGUAGCUGGUCUGAGAGGAUGAUCAGCCACACUGGAACUGAGACACGGUCCAGACUCCUACGGGAGGCAGCAGUAGGGAAUAUUGGACAAUGGGCGCAAGCCUGAUCCAGCCAUGCCGCGUGAGUGAAGAAGGCCCUCGGGUUGUAAAGCUCUUUUGUCCGGAAAGAAAAGCGCCGGGUUAAUACCCUGGUGUCCUGACGGUACCGGAAGAAUAAGCACCGGCUAACUUCGUG
rnacentral:rRNA from 1 species